UACGAAGGGUGCAAACGUUGCUCGGAAUUAUUGGGCGUAAAGCGCACGUAGGCGGCUUAGCAAGUCGGAAGUGAAAUCCCACGGCUCAACCAUGGAAGUGCUUUCGAAACUGCUGAGCUUGAGUACGAAAGAGGAUCGCGGAAUUCCCGGUGUAGAGGUGAAAUUCGUAGAUAUCGGGAGGAACACCGGUGGCGAAGGCGGCGACCUGGGUAGAUACUGACGCUGAGGAGCGAAAGCAUGGGGAGCGAACAGG
rnacentral:rRNA from 1 species